GACGAACGCUGGCGGCGUGCCUAAUACAUGCCAGUCGAACGCUUCUUUCCUCCCGAGUGCUUGCACUCAAUUGGAAAGAGGAGUGGCGGACGGGUGAGUAACACGUGGGUAACCUACCCAUCAGGGGGGGAUAACACUUGGAAACAGGUGCUAAUACCGCAUAACAGUUUAUGCCGCAUGGCAUAAGAGUGAAAGGCGCUUUCGGGUGUCGCUGAUGGAUGGACCCGCGGUGCAUUAGCUAGUCGGUGAGGUAACGGCUCACCAAGGCAACGAUGCAUAGCCGGCCUGAGAGGGUGAUCAGCCACACUGGGACUGAGACACGGCCCAGACUCCUACGGGAGGCAGCAGUGGGGAAUCUUGGACAAUGGGCGAAAGUCUGACCGAGCAACGCCGCGUGAGUGAAGAAGGUUUUCGGAUCGUAAAACUCUGUUGUUAGGGAAGAACAAGUGCGUUAGAAACUGAACGUCUCCUGACGGUAUCUAAACAGAAAGCCACGGCUAACUACGUG
rnacentral:rRNA from 1 species